rfam:Stegodyphus mimosarum contig121356, whole genome shotgun sequence.
CAAAAGGUUCUUUUCAGAACCAAUUUUUUAAAAAAACUUUCU